CUGCAAUAUCGCUUUUGCAGCUGCAGAUGGAAUGGAGGGCCCAACAAAGUAUUUUGUAACAAAUUGAAAGGUGUCUCCGUGUCACAGUUAUUUGUCGGUUGCUACUUUGCCAUGAGUGGCCGAAUAAUUGCCUGCGCCACCGUACCGGAGGAGACAACAAAAUCAUAAAAAAAGUUUUAUUUGUUUUUUGCUUGGCCAUUCGGCCGUUUCCAUGUGUCAUCAAUGGGCUCUUUUAUUGGCCAAUAAAUGAUGAAAAUAUGUGCAUGUGUGAA
rnacentral:sRNA from 1 species